AACGAACGCUGGCGGCAUGCCUAACACAUGCAAGUCGAACGAGACCUUCGGGUCUAGUGGCGCACGGGUGCGUAACGCGUGGGAACCUGCCUUUAGGUUCGGAAUAACUCAGAGAAAUUUGAGCUAAUACCGGAUGAUGUCUUCGGACCAAAGAUUUAUCGCCUUUAGAUGGGCCCGCGUUGGAUUAGCUAGUUGGUUGGGUAAAGGCCUACCAAGGCGACGAUCCAUAGCUGGUCUGAGAGGAUGAUCAGCCACACUGGGACUGAGACACGGCCCAGACUCCUACGGGAAGCAGCAGUGGGGAAUAUUGGACAAUGGGCGAAAGCCUGAUCCAGCAAUGCCGCGUGAGUGAUGAAGGCCUUAGGGUUGUAAAGCUCUUUUACCCGAGAUGAUAAUGACAGUAUCGGGAGAAUAAGCUCCGGCUAACUCCGUG
rnacentral:rRNA from 1 species